rfam:Ictidomys tridecemlineatus contig032631, whole genome shotgun sequence.
GGGGCUGUAGCUCAGUGGUAGAGCGCCUGCCUCAUAUGUGUGAGGCACUGGGUUCGAUCCUCAGCACCACUU